rnacentral:lncRNA from 1 species
GGUUUGGCUGUCUAGUGACGGAGGCUGCCGGUCGGCAGGACCCUUGCGGAGUCUGUCGGAGGCGGGCUCAAGUUCAGGGCUGGGGACUGGGACCGAGACGCGGGGAUCCAGAAAGCAGGGGAGGCGCGCUAGUGGCCGGGGGCGGAGAGCUUGGGUGGGAGUGAAGGUUGCACACAGGCGCGCGCCCGCGCGCGGGCACACACACACACACACACACGCACGCACGCCCGAGAAAGGGCUGAAUGAUCUGAGUGACUGAAGCUGGCUCCGCACCCCCGCACUUCCGGGGGACAGAGCGAUGCGGGUUAAAAGGGUUGUGUGCGCCCUGGGUGUGGGAGCACGUAAGUGCGUUGAAGUUGAGCGGGUUUGAGAGUAGCCCUCCAAGAUGAGUAUGCUUGGAAGUUUAGUUUCGGAGAAGGAUCUGCGCCGCAGUGUGCUGUACCUGGAAACCAGAGAUUUGCGGUGUUCGGAACCGACUCAUCAGGGUCCCCGGCACAACACUUUAUUCUCUGGACGUGCCGGGGGAGGGGUGUUCGCUUUGCCUCCGAGGGACCCCUCCUCUAGGUGUGAAAGAUGCUAGCCCAGCGCCCAUGGGGUGUCGAAAGCAACAUAUAAAGGUUCGAAACUCAGGAAACCUCGGCGAUCGCCUGCGCUAGCACAUACACACGGUCCCGCGCACACUCAGUCUGCGCCCGCCCUUCCUCCCUCCCUGAUUUGCUUCUGGGAAAACAAGCCUUGAGAGCUGCGGACUCGCCCCAAGUCACGGUGCUUAAGCAGGAGUCCCUGGUAGAAACAGGCUGAAAACUCCCCUCCCCGCUCACUGGUGGAGUCAUAUCCUGUGCGGCCUCUAGGAAGCGCUAGACACAUGUGGUUCCCCAGACCCUGUUCAACUGUCCCGCAGGCCGGGACAGAAGCCAGCUAAGGUUGCUUGAUAGAAGGCUGAGAAAGAAUGAGGCUGCUGAGUGAAGCCAGAGGGAGAAUACGCUCAAAGACAAGCAGUGUCACUGAAUGGAGACAGUUGGAUUUUUAGGACAUUGCUGCAUGGGCACUGGGCCCUUCCAUAUCUGGAAGACUCAGAACUCCACACACGACAUUUAUGGGACCCCCUCUGCCACAGCCACUGUGGUCUAUGGCAGUAAAUCCACUGAGCUAUUAGAUAUUUUUGUUGGUAGUGGUGUUGGUGGUUUAUUUGUUGUGUUUAUUAUAUCUGAGCCAAUCAAAGAAAUGUAAUAAACAAUAAUUUCUUAAGUA